UCACCUCUGGCGCAAUGGCAGCGUGCUACUUUCCGGUUCGCCUUGGAAUUCUUACCUCGGUAGGAGUAACAAGAGAUUCGUGCAUGGUAGAGGCUCUCGGUUCGAGUCCGGGGAGGUGAG